rnacentral:misc_RNA from 1 species
GAUAUGCAUAAAUGAUGUUUUGAAGUGGUCAGGAGUGAGGAAUCAAACCAAACCCAUAGAAGGAAAUUACAUUUUGACUCACUUAAGCUUAGAUUUUGAUGAGCUUUGAAGUGGCUUUGCAAUUGGUCGAGCAGGGGCACCUCUAGCAACCUUCUUCACAUCAUACUUAACCGAUGAGAAAGCACAGAUCACCGCAAGAAUCAUUGUAGGAUAAACAUAAACAGAUUUGGCAGGAUCUGUGUUCGCAGGUUUUCCCAAAAUUCCUUCCUUAACAAGACCCCAAAUUACCAACAGAGUUCCAAACAUGCUCAUCCUCCCGGGCUUCAAAAGACCCACAAAUGCUCCAGCCACUGAGAAAUAGCUUCCCGCAAGAACCUCUAAGCGUUGAAGAUCGGUCACAGCAGAAGCUUCCUUAAUGUUGGUCAAAUUAUAGAUGUCGAACAAAU